rnacentral:rRNA from 1 species
GAGGAAAAGAAACUAACAAGGAUUCCCCUAGUAACUGCGAGUGAAGCGGGAAAAGCUCAAAUUUAAAAUCUGGUAGCUUUCGCUGCCCGAGUUGUAAUCUAGAGAAGCAUUGUCAGUGCUGGCGCGUGUAUAAGUGUCCUGGAAUGGACCAUCAUAGAGGGUGAAAAUCCCGUCCUUGACACGCUGCUUUAGUGCGUUCAGAUGUGCUCUCAAAGAGUCGGGUUGUUUGGGAAUGCAACUCUAAAUGGGUGGUAAGUUCCAUCUAAAGCUAAAUAUUGGCGAGAGACCGAUAGCGAACAAGUACCGUGAGGGAAAGAUGAAAAGAACUUUGGAAAGAGGGUUAAACAGUACGUGAAAUUGCUGAAAGGGAAACGCUUGAAGUCAGUCGCGUCGGCUGGGAAUCAACCAUUGCAAUCCUUUGCUUGGUUUACUUCUCCAGCUUGACGGGUCAGCAUCAGUUUCGAUCAGUGGACAAAGGUCAAGGGAAUGUGGCACCUCCGGGUGUGUUAUAGCCCUYGGUCAUAUACAUUGGUUGGGACUG